rnacentral:rRNA from 1 species
AUUGAACGCUGGCGGAAUGCUUUACACAUGCAAGUCGAACGGCAGCACGGGGGCAACCCUGGUGGCGAGUGGCGAACGGGUGAGUAAUACAUCGGAACGUGCCCAGUUGUGGGGUAUAACGUAGCGAAAGCUACGCUAAUACCGCAUACGAACUGAGGUUGAAAGCGGGGGAUCGCAAGACCUCGCGCAAUUGGAGCGGCCGAUGGCAGAUUAGGUAGUUGGUGGGGUAAAGGCUCACCAAGCCGACGAUCUGUAGCUGGUCUGAGAGGACGACCAGCCACACUGGGACUGAGACACGGCCCAGACUCCUACGGGAGGCAG